rnacentral:tRNA from 1 species
CGAGAUGGUAAAAAUAGAAAGCCCUUAUCAUUUAAGGAUUUUACAGACAGGAAUAAGAGGACUUAAAAUCCCUUGGCCGAAAGGCCGUGCGGGUUCGAUUCCCGCCUCUCGCACCA